rnacentral:rRNA from 1 species
UCUUACGGCCACACCUCCCGAGCAACGCCCGAUCUCGUCUGAUCUCGGAAGCUAAGCAGGGUCGGGCCCGGUUAGUACUUGGAUGGGAGACCGCCUGGGAAUACCAGGUGCUGUAAGCC